rnacentral:lncRNA from 1 species
UACUUGCUGCAAUAGGCCUUUCUUCCCCUGCAACUGAGGUGAUAAUUGAAUCAUAAUACCACUGCACGCCUUGGGUUAUAGGAAUCCCGUUUCCCACUCAGCAUUGCAUUCAAGACAAAGGACAUACCAAGUCAACCCUAACAUCUCACAUCAGAUGUUCAUAAACGGCUCACAUUUUCUGUACUUUAUGCAUAUUUUUUUACUCAUAAAAGAGUCAAGGGGAAACAGCUUUGAAGAAGGAGCCCAAAUGAUAUUAGCGUUCAUACUUAUUUUUAGACUUCAAAAAGAUAGGUAUCUAAACACUACUUACUGGAUAAAUGUAAGGGUGUAUUUUAGCCAUUGUAGAUUUCCUAACAGUAAUUAUUAACUAUACAACCAUACGAACUCAUUAUUAAGUACUUAGUGUGCUUUUGACAUCAGCUC